rnacentral:rRNA from 1 species
UACGUAGGGUGCAAGCGUUGUCCGGAAUUAUUGGGCGUAAAGGGUAGGUAGGUGGUCUUAUUUGUCUAGGGUGAGAUCCCGGGGCUUAACCCUGGAAGUGCCUUAGAAACGGUAAGACUAGAGUUCUAGAGGGGGUCGUGGAAUUCCCGGUGUAGCGGUGAAAUGCGUAGAGAUCGGGAGGAACACCAGAAGCGAAGGCGGCGACCUGGAUAGAUACUGACACUCAACUACGAAAGCGUGGGUAGCAAACAGG